rnacentral:rRNA from 1 species
UACGGAGGAUCCGAGCGUUAUCCGGAUUUAUUGGGUUUAAAGGGUGCGCAGGCGGGAGAUUAAGUCGGCGGUGAAAUUUUGCAGCUUAACUGUAAAAGUGCCAUCGAUACUGGUUUCCUUGAGUGUAGAUGAAGUAGGCGGAAUUUGUGGUGUAGCGGUGAAAUGCAUAGAUAUCACGAGGAACUCCGAUUGCGCAGGCAGCUUACUAAACUACUACUGACGCUCAGGCACGAAGGCGUGGGGACCAAACAGGAUUAGAUACCCUGGUA